rnacentral:lncRNA from 1 species
GCAGAGCAUGCAAGACAGUUGCGUAGGUACACACAUGGCAGUGUGCUUUGCUUUUCUUCUCCCCUUCACCCACAUUUGGCAUUUCUCCCCAGGCUAUCCCUCCCCACCUCCCCCUCCCACUGGCCCUCCCCUUUUCCCCCCAAUAGACCCCAGUGUUUAGUACUCCGCUUUCUGUGUCCAUGUGUUCUCAUUUUUCAUCACCCACCUAUGAGUGAGAAUAUGCGGUGUUUCAUUUUCUGUUCUUGUGUCAGUUUGCUGAGGAUGAUGUUUUCCAGAUUCAUCCAUGUCCCUGAAGAUUCUCCUACAUUUUCUUUUUUAUUCAAAACAGUAACCUUUAUCUCUGAUUUCCAACUCAUAAAAAUAAAUCUCAGAAACAUUUCAUCCUGAGAAAUGAGUUGAAAUCAAAUAGUUUAAGAAAUACUUCUGUCUGCAACUAAUUCAAAAAAAAGCCUGAACUGAAAUCUUCCUUGUAUUUAGUAUGUGAGAAGAAGGAACAUUGAUCUAUGUCUUCCCUCAAGGUUUUCUUGCUUUUCCUAAAAUUCAGUAUAUCUCUUGAAAUGAAACUAUUCCUCAAUAGAUUUAAGACAACAGCUAUGUAUGUGUAGUCUUUUAUUGGUCCAUUUGUUCUGUAAAUGUUAAACAGAACUUUUACCUCCCUGUAAUUUAGUAUGAAUGUCAUUUAUAAUAAUUACAUAUCCAGCUGCCUGCCAUUUAGGACUAGAAAAUAGAUUCAUUCUUCUCUGAAUUUUCUGUAUCAGAGUUAAUACCAGUAAAUAAGAUAAUUUAAAAAUAUCUACACUAAAGAUCACUAUAUGGUUAGCUUAAAUGGACAAAGAUUAUUGAAAAUAUUAUUCUGGCUGCCACUUCACUCUUAUUGCAACUCAUUAUGGUUAGAAAGCUUAAAUGGUUGGGCUAUUUUACACAAUAUUUCUAAUGCAAUCCUUGGGAAUAUUUAGUACCAGCCUGGAUGAAGCAUUUGAAAGUAUAUUGAAGAGAGAGAUUUAUUUAGAUUCAAUAUAUCUUCUACUAUUGCUUAAGAUUUUUAAAGGACUAUUGUAAAAACUGUAGUGUACUUAUUUUUUCAUAAUGUAUAUGUUUUUUAAUUAUCAGGAACUGCAUAUUUAGUGGAAUAAGCCUGAGGAGAAUGUGG